rnacentral:rRNA from 1 species
AGUCAACAUGCCCAGAGGACGUGGAUAACCUCGGGAAACUGAGGAUAAACCGCGAUAGGUCAUAAUAUCUGGAAUGAUUUAUGGUUUAAAUCUAUAUGGCCUCUGGAUUGGACUGCGGCCGAUCAGGCUGUUGGUGAGGUAAUGGCCCACCAAACCUAAAACCGGUACGGGCUCUGAGAGGAGAAGCCCGGAGAUGGGCACUGAGACAAGGGCCCAGGCCCUAUGGGGCGCAGCAGGCGCGAAAACUCUGCAAUAAGCGAAAGCUUGACAGGGUUAUUCUGAGUGAUUUCCGCUAAGGAAAUCUUUUGGCACCUCUAAAAAUGGUGCAGAAUAAGGGGUGGGCAAGCCUGGUGUCAGCCGCCGCGGUAAUACCAGCACCCCGAGUGGUCGGGACGAUUAUUGGGCCUAAAGCAUCCGUAGCCGGUUCUACAAGUCUUCCGUUAAAUCCACCUGCUUAACAGAUGGGCUGCGGAGGAUACUAUGGAGCUAGGAGGCGGGAGAGGCAAGCGGUACUUAGUGGGUAGGGGUAAAAUCCGUUGAUCCAUUGAAGACCACCAGUGGCGAAGGCGGCUUGCCAGAACGCACUCGACGGUGAGGGAUGAAAGCUGGGGGAGCAAACCGGAUUAGAUACCCGGGUAGUCCCAGCUGUAAACGAUGCAGACUCGGUGAUGAAUAGGCUUCGUGCCUAUUCAGUGCCGCAGGGAAGCCGUUAAGUCUGCCGCCUGGGGAGUACGGUCGCAAGACUGAAACUUUA